GAAGGCCCCACUGUCUUAAGAGAAUUCCCAGUGAAAUUGAAUUCGUAGUGAAGAUGCUACGUCCAAUUUGUCAGACGAAAAGACCCCAUUGAGCUUUACUGGAGACUUACAUUGCUCGGAUCAACUCUCGCCCCCCCCCCUUGGCGGGGGGUCGAAUUUAAAUGGAUAGCUUAAAUUAUGUGGUGUUAUAACCGUCGAUCAAGUAGUCCCUACGGGAUUGCCCCCGAAGGUUGACCUGUUUGGGUGAAUGAAACCCCACUCUUUUUUGUUAAAUGAGCUAACCCCUUAAAGGGGGACAAUGUAAGUUGGACAGUUUGGUUGGGGCGACCGCCUUUUAAAGAGUAACGAAGGUGUGCUUAAGGUACACAAUCAAUAACACAAGCCUGACUGCGAGGGGGACCCUCCGAGCAGACACCUAAAGUCUUCUCCCUUCCCCCCGAAGGUUAAAGACGAAUGGUGGGUUAUAGUGACCCGUUAAUUUAGAGUGGAAUAGUUAACGAUCAACGAAUAAAAGUUACCAUGGGGA
rnacentral:rRNA from 1 species